UUCGGGCCUGGAGCACCUGUGCGCGGGCGACACGGCCAAGAUCGGGUUCGCCGCCAAGUGAGGCCAUCGCGCGCCGCGUCUUCCCGUGCGACGCGAGCUCCGAGUACCUCGCCAUCCCCUGCAAGCACUACGCCUGCCGCGUCCUCCGCCGUGAGGUGCAGGUGCCACUCCCCAAGGUGCUCGAGCUCCCCGAGGUCUACAUGAGCGCCUGCAAGUGGGACGAGCUGCCCUACGCGCGCGUGGCGUCCACGGCCAUGCGCCAGUACAAGGAGGCGUCCUGGAUGUGCUUCUUUCUUCUGAUCAUGGGGUCGGCGACGGCGGCCCGGAAGCCAGGAGGGCUGGCCGAGGAAGAGGGUGAGGACGUGGGGAUUGAAGAGGGUUCCUAUGCAUAUUGUUCAUUGCAAGGGUAAAGCAUCGUCAGCACUGUAUUGAUGUCGUCAAGUCAUGUAGACUAAUUGCAGAACAAAUCUAUACUUUCGUUGGGACUAAAAGUGAAAACGAUAAUUGGGACCAAAACUAUGCAUUUCUAGGAAGUAAUAAAUAUGCAAAAGGAUUAUCCAUGGGAUGGAGCAGAGGCCGGCGUGGGCCGCAAGGAGCAGCAGUGGCAGAAUGGUGCUCGCUUGCCGGGCGUUGGCCCUCGGAUGAAUUCGACGCCUGAGUUGAGCUAACGAGCCCCAUGGUUUGCUAUCAAUCUCUCAAAAAGGAAAAAACAACACUACUUUGUUCUUGGGAGAAACUUCCUGUAGAGUCGCUACCUUGACAGAGAUAAAUAUGCGAUCAAGGAUAUAUUCAAUGGUUUUUCCGGAAAAAACUUGGAGGAUAUUUUUGCAGGUUCAUCGCUUGCAUUAUUGCUUUAUCAUGGUGUAUUCGUCCCUUCUUAUCCAAGAAAGGGCCUUCUUCAUGUUUGCAGAUAGUUUGGUGCUCUCAUGGUUAUUUUGUUGAGAUUGUCCUUUUGUUCAUUAUUUGGGAACCAUCUCCUGCAGCUCAGCUACUGUCCAGCUGCUGCCCUUAUGGUGAUUGAUUAAUGGUGUAUGUUUUUCUAUUAGUUUCUCUGUAUGCCAAUGUCUAAAUUAUAUCUUGACGUUGUACAUUUCUGCAGGCCUUGGAUUCCCUGAGAUGCGCUAUUCGUAGGCAUGCAUUUUCUAAUAAAAUUAUGGCAAUCAAUUUGAACAAGUAAUUUAUCUAGCUACAACAACCUAUUGUUUAUGUUCCUUGCUUUCACAAAUAGUAGUUUAUAGUCUAUAUCUGCCAAAUAUUUACACAUAGGGUUUAUAGUCUAUAUCUAAUAAUAUUUUAUAAUAGUAGUUUACAGUCUAUAUCUUGCUUCCCCUCUGCUACUGAUCUCUCUCUCUCUCUCUCUCUCUCUCUCUCUCUCUCUCUCUCUCUCUCUCUCUCUCUCUCUACACACACACACACACACACACACCAUCACGCAAUAAUCUCCUCCUGAUCUUGCUAUUUAUGCAUCUCCAUAUGUCAUUGGUUUCUUCCGAUUUGCAGGGAUUGUAGGAGGCAAGCGUAUGUGGGUGGGUUCUUUCUUCUUGCAUGAAAUUGUUCUACUAAUUCCUCAAUGCUCUGUUCAUGACAUUGUUCAGAAUGUCGUGUAAGAUCUUUGCCAGUGUUAUAAAAAAACUACAUCUUAUCUGCAUGCACUCCUAAUUGUAUAUAUAUAUAUAUGCUUGUUAUAGAACUAUCACAUAUAUCAAAGGUGCAGCUAUUUUUUCGACAUAAACUGUACUUUCAGCCUUUCAGGGAUAAGCUCGUCAAUGCAAGAAAAUCUAAAAGAAAGCGACUAAAAACAACAUUUGAAGAUUUUGCAGGGAUGUAGAUAUAUAUGGUGAUGUUUCACUACGAUCUAAGUGUUUCAGUUCAUAUUUAGCAGGAUCACAUGUUGACCAAUGACUCUUUGCUGUGAGUUAUUGACAAUUCCUUGAUUUUUGCAACUCAGGAGUGAAGAUGGCCUUCCUUUGAUGGACGCCACCACUCCCAAGUACUCGAAGGCUCGUUAUGAAGAAAUUGUUAAGGAGGUCUCUUCGUACCUGAAGAAGGUCGGCUACAACCCUGACAAGGUUCCCUUCGUCCCCAUCUCUGGGCUUGAGGGUGACAACAUGAUUGAGAGGUCCACCAACCUUGACUGGUACAAGGGCCCAACCCUGCUUGAGGCGCUUGACCAGAUCAACGAGCCCAAGAGGCCCUCAGACAAGCCCCUCCGUCUUCCCCUCCAGGACGUUUACAAGAUUGGUGGCAUUGGAACUGUGCCUGUUGGCCGUGUUGAGACUGGUGUCACCAAGCCUGGUAUGGUUGUCACCUUUGGUCCCACUGGUCUGACAACUGAGGUCAAGUCCGUUGAGAUGCACCACACAUCGUUCCCUCUUUUAUUCUUCUCAGGCAACGAGGGACAGGUGGAUGUCGUGCUGUCAUGUGGAAGGCAGCAUGUGCUAAUUCAUAUGUGGAGUUGGUGUUGAGCCUGGCGGUAGUAGACACGAAAGGUGCCCGUCGCUUGAUCUUGAGAGCAGGAACGAGGGAGGAGGUGCGGCGCUGUUGAGGGAGGAGAACGAGGCGGAGUGGGCGCAGGGCUGGCGGCUAGGGAGGGGAUUGGCAAAUCCCUCGGGGAAACGAACAAAGUUCACCCAGCCAACGAGCGUGCGAGACGAGCCCACCCGUCAUUGGCCAACGGAAACAACCGUGAGGUGAAAAUCGACAUAUAUCUCAAGCUUACAAACUAUGGUUCAUAUUUUAGAGAAAAAAUGGUGCACACCGGCGUUAUCAAGUAUGUCUGAGACUACAUGUAUUGAUUUAUAAACACAUUCAUGUAUUUGCAACCUUAUAAAGUGAAAUAGCUGAGGUACUGGAUCAUUUCCUUUUAGUUUGUCAUGUUUUGUUGAAGAAUAGCUUCUGUAUUGUUUGCUUGCGGAACUUUGAUAGAGGAAAAGUUAUUAUGAGUGAAAUUGUGGACAAAAAGACCUAGAAAGGUCAAAGAAGUA